rnacentral:rRNA from 1 species
AGUCUGCGGCACGCCGCGUGAGUGAUGAAGGUUUUCGGAUCGUAAAGCUCUGUUGUUAGGGAAGAACAAGUGCCGUUCAAAUAGGGCGGCACCUUGACGGUACCUAACCAGAAAGCCACGGCUAACUACGUGCCAGCAGCCGCGGUAAUACGUAGGUGGCAAGCGUUGUCCGGAAUUAUUGGGCGUAAAGGGCUCGCAGGCGGUUUCUUAAGUCUGAUGUGAAAGCCCCCGGCUCAACCGGGGAGGGUCAUUGGAAACUGGGGAACUUGAGUGCAGAAGAGGAGAGUGGAAUUCCACGUGUAGCGGUGAAAUGCGUAGAGAUGUGGAGGAACACCAGUGGCGAAGGCGACUCUCUGGUCUGUAACUGACGCUGAGGAGCGAAAGCGUGGGGAGCGAACAGGAUUAGAUACCCUGGUAGUCCACGCCGUAAACGAUGAGUGCUAAGUGUUAGGGGGUUUCCGCCCCUUAGUGCUGCAGCUAACGCAUUAAGCACUCCGCCCUGGGAU